rnacentral:rRNA from 1 species
GUAGUCUCGCACAGAUGCAUAUCAAUAAGCGGAGGAAAAGAAACUAACAAGGAUUCCCCUAGUAACGGCGAGUGAAGCGGGAAGAGCUCAAAUUUGAAAUCUUAAAGGGUUUCCCUUUACGAAUUGUAGUUUAAAGAAGUGUUUUCUGUUGAGGUUUUGGUAAAAGUUCUUUGGAAUAGGACAUCAUAGAGGGUGAGAAUCCCGUAUUUGACCUUUACUUUCAACUUUGUGAUACACUUUCAAAGAGUCGGAUUGUUUGGGAAUGCAGUCCAAAAUGGGUGGUAAAUUUCAUCUAAGCUAAAUAUUGGCGAGAGACCGAUAGCGAACAAGUACCGUGAGGGAAAGAUGAAAAGAACUUUGAAAAGAGAGUUAAACAGUACGUGAAAUUGUCAAAAGGGAAGCGUUUGACACCAGUGUUGUUUUCUGAAAAUCAAUUAAAGAACUGUUUAUGCUAAGCUGUUUAGACUUUAUCAGCUAUCUGUUUAGUUUUGAGCUUUUCUUUAAUGCACUUUUCAGUUAACAAGUCAACAUCAAUUUCUUUUGCUGUAAAAAAGCUUGAGGAAGGUGGCUUGAGAUUCGUCUUAAGUGUUUAUAGCCUCUUGCCUAUGCAGUCGGAGAGAUUGAGGUCUGCAGCGUAGAUCCUUCGGGGCUAAAUGCAUUUGUGCUAAGUUAUAGCAUUUUAUAGACAACUUGUUGACUAUGAUUUGUCUUGUAGCUUACUCGCUUAUGUUAUUUUACCUACGCUUAGGAUGUUGACAGCAGUAUAGACUGU